ensembl:lncRNA
GGUAAAGGAGAGGUAAAGGAGAGGAGAGGUAAAAGAGAGGUAGGGUAGAGUUCAAGGAGAGGUAAAGGAGAUGAGAGGUAAUGGAGAGGUAGGGGAGAGGUAAAGGAGAGGUAAAUGAGAGGUAAAGGAGAGGAGGGGUAAAGGAGAAGAGAGGUAAAGGAGAGGUACAGGAGAGGAGUGGUAAAGGAGAGUAGAGGUAAAGGAGAGGAGGGGUAAAGGAGAGGAGAGGUAAAGGAGUGGAGGGGUAAAGGAGAGGUAAAGGUGAGGAGAGGUAAAGGAGAGAUAGGGGAGAGGUAAAGGAGAGGAGAGGUAAAGGAGAGGUAAAUGAGAGAUAGGGGAGAGGUAAAUGAGAGGUAAAGGAGAUGUAAAGGAGAGGUAAAGGAGAGGAUGGAAUAGG